CUCUUCGGGGAUGAUUAAACCGGCGCACGGGUGAGUAACACGUGAGUGACCUGCCUUUUAGACUGGAACAACUUACCGAAAGGUGAGCUAAUGCCGGAUGAGUUAUAUAAGUGCAUGUUUAUAUAGGAAAAGUUGGGGAGACCUGACGCUGAAAGAUGGACUCGCGUCCCAUUAGCUAGUUGGUAGGGUAAUGGCCUACCAAGGCGACGAUGGGUAGCCGGCCUGAGAGGGUGGCCGGCCACACUGGGACUGAGACACGGCCCAGACUCCUACGGGAGGCAGCAGUGGGGAAUUUUGCGCAAUGCUCGUAAGAGUGACGCAGCGACGCCGCGUGAAUGACGAAGGCCUUCGGGUCGUAAAGUUCUUUCGACAGGGAAGAAAAUGCCUAUAAGUAACUGUGUAUGUAUUGACGGUACCUGUAUAAGCAGCCCCGGCUAACUCCGUGCCAGCAGCCGCGGUAAUACGGAGGGGGCGAGCGUUGUUCGGAGUGACUGGGCGUAAAGAGCACGUAGGCGGUGUUGUAAGUCAUUAGUCAAAGACUAGAGCUCAACUUUAGUAAGGCUAGUGAUACUAUAAUACUAGAGUAUCAGAGAGGAUUGCAGAAUUCCUGGUGUAGCGGUGAAAUGCGUAGAUAUCAGGAGGAAUACCGUUAGCGAAGGCGGCAAUCUGGCUGGAAACUGACGCUGAGGUGCGAAAGCGUGGGUAGCAAACAGGAUUAGAUACCCUGGUAGUCCACGCUGUAAACGAUGGAUGCUAGGUGUUGGGCUUUUAAGUUCAGUGCCGCAGCAAACGCGAUAAGCAUCCCGCCUGGGGAGUA
rnacentral:rRNA from 1 species